AUGGCUUCUAAGCUUUUACCUUCUCUAGAAUGUUUAUUUGAGUCACAGUCUUCCACUCGCCCAAAUUCCAUGUUUGCCUCUAAAGAAGCCUGCCCAGUCCUGCGUAUUAUGUACCAGACAGUCAUUCUGAUCAUUGAGUCAAAUGUGUAGCUCCCCCUCUCGCAACUCACAGUGUUGAAAACAGGAGAAGCUUGAAGAGUCACUGCGGCCUUGCUGCUGACGGCAGAGACUCGGCUCUUCUUUCUGGUUCUGCCGCUGCCUUGCCUGGUGAGCCUGAGUAAAUCGCUUCAGAGUGCUAAGACUUCGUUUUGUCUUCUGACAGUUUUUAGCUGAAUUAUUUUGAGAUCUAUGGCUGAAGCCUCUUGUUUCACUAUCGAGUGUUAUAAAACAUAAAAAUUAAUAACAAGAAGCAGAAACAAAAAAAUUGCAAGAAUUCUUUGUUACUUAAAUUGUAAAUUCUUGGGAGCAAGAAUCCUCUUUGGAACACUUAGCAAGUGCCUAAUGACAAUUGUAAAUAGUGUUUCCUUUCCAGAUAACAACGUUAGCAUAGAUUGUGCAACUGUGAAGGGUGCUUAGCACCUUCGAUUUCCAGGGGCAUUAAAAACACAC
rnacentral:lncRNA from 1 species